rnacentral:lncRNA from 1 species
GAGUGUCGAUAAUCUUUUGAAGACCUAAAAAAAUAUUUGACAUCUCCACCGUUGCUUACAAAAUCAAAGGUCAGAGAAACUUUGUAUCUCUACUUGGUGACAUUAAUGGAAGUAGUUAGUUCGGUGCUUGUCCAAGAGGAUGAAAAUUAAAUUCAACGAUCAAUCUACUAUACUAGUAAGGUGCUUCAUAAUGCUGAAGUGAGAUAUUCA